rnacentral:lncRNA from 1 species
CCUGAAUCCGCCCUCCAUUCGUUUGGCAAACAUUUAUGAGCGCCUCUAAAGUGCCAGGCAUGGUACUGGGCACUGGUGGUCCGGCAGAGAACAAGAGAGUCAAAAUCCUGUUCACGUGGAUCUGACAGGAGGCACAGGCAAUCAAAUGUCAUUGGCCCAGGGGUUGAUACACACGUACACACGUUUUCUUUGUUUUGAGACAGGGUAUCACUCUGUUGCCCAGGCUGGCGUGCAGUGGCACAAUCUCGGCUGACUGCAACCUCUGCCUCCCGGACUCAAGUGAUCCUACACCUCAGCCUCCCAAGUAGCUGGGUCUACAGGUGCACACUACCACAUCCAGCUAAUUUUUAAUUUUUUGAAGAGACAGAGUCUCACUAUCUUGCCAAGUCUGGUCUUGAACUCCUGGACUCAAGCAGUCCUCUCACCCAGCCUCCCAAAGUACUGAGAUGACAUGCAUGAGCCACCACACCCAGCCUACAUGUUUUGUUUCUUUUUUUCUUUUUUUAGAGACAGGAUCUCACUGUGCGCCCAGGCUGAAGUACAGUGGCACAGUCACGGCUCACUGUAACUUCAAACUCUUGGGCUCAAGUGAUCCUCUGGCCUUGGCCUCUCAAAGUGCUGGGAUGACAGGCAUGAGCCACUGUACCAAGCUGACAUAUUUUUGUUUGUUUGUUUUCUUUUCUUUUCUUUUUUUUUUUUUGAGAAGGAGUCUCGCUCUGUCAUCCAGGCUGGAGUGCUGGAGUGCAGUGGUACUAUCUUGGCUCACUGCAAGCUCCGCCCUCCGGGUUCACACCAUUCUCCUGCCUCAGCCUCCCUAGUAGCUGGGACUACAGGCACCCGCCACUAAGUCCGGCUAAUUUUUUGUAUUUUUUUUAUUAGAGACGGGGUUUCACUGUGUUAGGCAGGGUUGUCUUGAUCUCCUGACCUUGUGAUCUACCCGCCUCAGCCUCCCAGAGUGCUGGGAUUACAGGUGUGAGCCACGGCACCUGGCCUGUUUUCUUUUUUUGACACGGACUCUCACCCUGUCUCCCAGGCUGGAGUGCAGUGGCACGAUCUCGGCUCACUGCAACCUCCACCUCCUGGGUUCAAAUGAUUCUCCUGCCUUAGCCUUCUCAGUAGCUGGGAUUAUAGGUGCGUGCCACCAUGCCUAGCUAAUUAUUGUAUUUUUAGUAGAGACGGAGUUUCACCAUGUUGAUCAGGCUGGUCUCGAACUCCUGUCUUCGUGAUCCACCCGCCUCAGCCUCCCAAAGUGCUGGGAUUACAGGCGUGAGCCACCACACCCAGCCAACAUAUGUUUUCUUUUUUCUUUUUUCUUUUUUUUUUGAGACGGAGUCUUGCUCUGUCACCCAAGCUGGAGUGCAG